rnacentral:rRNA from 1 species
UACGGAGGGUGCAAGCGUUAUCCGGAUUCACUGGGUUUAAAGGGUGCGUAGGCGGAAUUGUAAGUCAGUGGUGAAAGCCCCGAGCUUAACUUGGGAACUGCCAUUGAUACUGCUUUUCUUGAAUACGAUUGAGGUAAGCGGAAUGUUGCAUGUAGCGGUGAAAUGCUUAGAUAUGUUACAGAACACCAAUUGCGAAGGCAGCUUACUAAGUCGUUAUUGACGCUCAGGCACGAAAGCGUGGGUAGCAAACAGG